ensembl:lncRNA
AGAGGGAACGACACGUCGCUGACUGCCUCCCGCCAUUUCUCUGCUGUGAAAAAGCAGUGGGAAAACAUCGGUGGCCACCGCGGCGCGUCAGGUUUGCUACUCAAAUUUCAUAGUCGUUUUUAGAAACAAGGGGUCCUCGAUUUCAGAAAGGUGAAGAAGCACAUUCCUGAUUUUUUGGCUAAAAUGACAACUGAGGCUGGCAGAUGCAAACGUGUCAAACGACCAUAACCAAGCAACGAAGACAUCUAAUUUUGCUUUGGGGUCUUAUUGUCAUUGUUUCUCACCUCAGUCACCUGUCGCAUUACGGACAGCUAUUGCAUCGUAAACAUGGGAUGACCCCGGGAUUUAAACGGUUCAAUACAAUUUUGUCUGACCUUCCGAUCAAUGUGCUGCCAUUCGGGGCAAGAUCUGAGUGAAGAUCUGAGCUCAGAGUGUAACACAAGGAGGUGCUUCUUGGGUGGACUAUCAAUGCCUUGUACACUCACAUCAAUUCUUCUUACUGAUGGCGGUUUCCAAUGUUCAGUUUAAAUGGUUGCCUUGCGCAGAGGCACAAACUGAGCUUUAGAGAGGGUCUUCUUUAGAUAGCUUCCUAAGAGGGCUUCCACACAAGAAGGAAAAUUAUGGUUUUAUAAACCCUGUCUCUUAGCUGUGCAUAGUUCACCCGGUUGUGGAACUGAAUGUACCCCCCCCCCCCCAUCCCCUUUGGCUGUAAUCAGUGACCAUUUGAGAGAAUGGUACACAGUUACUAUGGGGGCAUGUUGUUCUUCUGUUGUUGAUUUCAGGGAGGACAAUAGUUGCCUGUGUCUCACCUAUUUGUGUCAGCUGGGCUGUACUGAUGAGUGACGUGUUUGCAGAAAGGGCCCGGCUGAUUGAUGGUUGCCUCGCUGUUCUUUGUUGAAAUGGGAUCAUGACGUGUACUAGGAGGAAAUAGCUUUUUCAAAGCAGCAGAUCUCUCUGUUCUUAUGUGACUCUACGUGCAGCACAACUUCCAGUCAGUCCAUCCGGCCUGCUGUCUGUCUUUAAGCCCUAAAUAUUGUGUGUAUAAAAUAUAUAUGACAUGAUUAACAAUUUACUGGUUAUGUUUAACAUGUUACAUAUUGGAACUUGGAAUAGUUUACUUUCAAAGUAAUGUGCAUUUACCAAGCGGGAUGAGUCAGACAAAAGAUGCUCGGGGGUUAACGGAAAUAUAAAGGUGCACGCGAAAACGCUGAGAGAGAAAAAACAGAGAAAACGGUAAUAAAUGGUUAUGGUAUUAAAAGGUUUGUUAAUGUUUAACACUUAUAGGAAUUAAGUAAUAACUGUAUGUGUGCUCUUAAACAGCAUUAGUAAGCUAACGUUACUACAUUGGCGCGGGAGAUGUUAUUUGUGAUUUAUCCACAGCUCCUACGUUGUUUGUGGAAUUUAAAAAUAAAAUGUACAAUCACCAGCCAAGUGUCAGACCAUCUGUCGGAAGGGAUGUGCCACAAAUUUUCCCAUUUUAAAAUAAUGGAAAAUUCUUGAAUUGCCAUGACUUACCAAAAAAGUCUGCCUUAUUUACCUUACUUUUCAAAAUCUAACCUAUCCAAUUUUCUCAAGUUUUUCAUUUCGAUAUAGUUCUUUACAUUAAAUCAUUUUCUCCACAAAAGACCCUUCUAACAGCAUCAAACCAAAAACCAAAAUAUCCAAACCGCCACAGAGGAAAAACAAAGCCGUUACAAGAAACUACUCAGUGUGACAGUUCUAUGCAGUAUCGAUAAACAAUGUCACAGAUGAUCACUUCAAUCCCACGAAGGUACUGCUGCGUGUCUCACAGAGAGGAUUCUUCCACUGACAACAUUUAGGAUGCAACCGCUGCCGUCCUCACAGGAUAUCAUCAUCAAGUGCACGAGUCGGCGUGAUUGCCUCUCAGGCCGCUGUAACUGGAUUGUGUUUCCGCUGCGAUCCAGCUGAAACUUUGCCAGCACUAAUUUCCCCUGUGUCUGUUACCUUCCAUAAAAACCUUCUUAUAUAUUUAUUCUCCCAUCUUCCUGGGAUUAAUAGAUUUUAUGCAAACCACAUUCCUGUUGCAAUUUGCAUUUUAUCACCUUACAGAUUGGGUCUUUUUUCUUAAUUCCCUUUCAUAUCACCUUGCGCACUGUUAUUAUCCCUUAAUAUUGGGUACUCAGUCUUUCACAAUCUGUGCAUUACUCGGAACCAUCAUCAAUAAGCUGAUAAUUCAACCUCUUGCGUGAUGGGUGCGGAUGUACGUACUAAUCACCUUUGUCCUGCUGUAGAACCUUUUGAAAAUCAGUAAUGUAUUAAUUAACACUGUCAUUUAUCUCUUGAAUCUGUCUUUCUAUGUUUAAGUCUAUUGAAUAACUGAUUGGCUGCACGAGAUGACUAUCUGUGGCCUGACUGUCAUGUAAGAUAUGUCAUUGAAAAAGAUAAGAAAAAGGUUUUAAGAGUGAGUUUGAUUUGUGCCCAUCAAUACAUUUCUUGUUCUAUCUCUAAAUGGUUGUUUGUUUAAUUUCAACACCUUCACGUUAAAACGUAGAACGUUACAGUACCAGUAUAAUACCAGUCAAACAACUAGCUGGGUUUAUGGGGAGAUUAAUAUAUAAGAGUGAAAUUCAAUUUAAAGGUUAAUGGGCCAUCUGAACAAUCAGGUGGAACAUAGUUUGAACUAUUAGACAAAUUCUAAAUGUGUACUGAACUUUGGGAAUGAUAAUGUGAAAAACAAUCUCCAAAAUUAUGUCAUCCUUCUUUUCUCAACAGAGUAAAUGGUGCAUUUUUACUAGUUGGCGCUCUCCUCUCUUCUUUCAGUACAUGUUGUGUUAUGUUGUUUUUGUCGACCUGUGCCCAAAUAGCCCCCCCGCCCUCUUCACCCACUACUGCUUAGUAGUUCACCGAUGCUUCGGCACAGAGGGGCCGUUUGCAAGCUCAGCAGGGGGCACAAGCGCAUGAAGCGACAUGCUGGCAUCACUUAGUAGUCGAUCCCUGAGCAGCCAGCAGGUUCCUCUUUGGUUGGUCAAUACGGCUUGUCAGUCAAAACAAACCAAUUUAGAGCCAACGACUGCGCUCCGCUGUCAGAUGUCCGCAGCCACGGAAUUGAAAGGGACACCCGGCUCAGCAAAAUGACUAAAAUGACUAAUUUGAAGUGUCAUUUGAAGUGCUUGGUGGGACAAAUGAUAACGCUCAUGCAGAGCAGCUUAUCUGUAUUUUUGAUGAUGAUGAUUGUGUCCAGACAGAAAGUAAGCAGGAAAAUCACAAAGAAAAAAAUAACCGAAUGUCACACCAAAAGCCAAAUACUUCAAAAUGGACAUUUUUUUGCAGGAUGACUUUCUAGGAUAGCUUCACCUUGAGUGGCUUAGUGAGACUCUGAGCAGCCAAUCAUCCCUUAAUUGAAAAAAGACGAGGAAAGACAAGAUUGGAGAUAUUCUUUUUGAUUGUAAUUUGGGAACACAAGUCCUCUAUCAGAUCUCUAGAGCCCGAUGUGGAGGAUAACACUUCACAACAUAUUACUUCUAUGAAAUUCUAUAUCAAUAUCACGUACACAUACAGUAUAGCAUUUCACUCGUAAAAACCUUGUGGGGCAAAAGUUAAGAAUGAGAUUUUAAGUGUUUUUUGAUGAAGGCUUAAAGAAAUCCAAAUGCCCUGGAAAUUCAAUGAUGAGCUAUUCCCAUCUAAUAGUGUUGUUUCACGGAAAUAUAGAAUAGUUGUGGAUACAAUAUAUAGACUACUAAUUGUGAUACAUAGGAUGUGCUGGGUUUCAAUUAUUAAUAUACACUGAGACCAAUACAUUACUUGUAUUCAGCGAUAUAGUCGAGACCAGUGUGUGCAGGUGGGUGUGGCAGUCAGCUGAUUGAUGAAGGAGGGAAAAGAGUGCAUCUGAUGGACGGAUGAAAAAAAAGCUCAAAAGGGGCCUUUGUGAAUAGUCCCCCGAGGAAGAGGAAUCUGGCUGAGGAGGGCAUCAGAGACGUUUUAGUUUGAUAAUCCGCCCUCGAGCAGAAGCCACCGUCAGAAACACUGACCUGGGCUGGCCGGAGCUUUUUGAUGAACCCCAGCAGUCAAAAAUACGGAGUGGGGGGUCUUUGCUUCGCUGAUUGCAACAUGGGAGGUCAAAUUCAAAUGAUUCCCCAAAGGCAUUUUUUAUAUUUUUCUUUCAUAAACUGUAAAUAAUAUUUGGUUUUUCGGCACCAGCUUUUUGUGAUUAACUGUGUCACGGUUUGGGUUUGUUUGCUGUCUUAUUUUGAAGUUUUCUGUAGUUUUCUUGUGUCCCUGGGUAACCUCACUUCCUGCCUUGCACAUCAAGACACAAAUGUCACAUAACAGCUGCAGAGCUGGGAAAUAGGAUUUAGGCAGGAAAAAACAUUUUAGAUUAAAAACAGUAGAGCACAAAUCAAGAUUUACACAGUAAUGAAAAACAGGAUUAUGGAUUUGUUCAAAAGCUUUAUGCAUGGCACACAAGUAAGUAGCAGCACAGUUUGUAUCUGUUGGAAAUACCGGAUGAUGUUGUUUGAAUAAGUGCACGUCUGUAGCCUUUUUUAUUCUCGGUUGACUUGCUUUGGUCUUUACUUUUAUCUCGGGGAGGUUUUCCCACUGACUCCCCGAAGUGCCGCCUCAUUCACAAUUUGUUCACAAAAAACAUCUACCUCUCGCGUGCACGCUGCUCCCUCCUGCACCCAUUCUUCAAUGCAGCAAUAACAUCAACAUAGAAGGAAAACCAAACAGUGUGACAGCAACGUACCCUGAAGAAGAAACGCGGUAAUAAAUAUGCUGACAGGCGAGCUCGGAGUGCUUAUUAUAAGACGAGUCUGAAGCAGAGUGCGAUCCCUCCAGGUCCACUGUUCCUUCUGUUUCUAUCUGUGGCUGAAGAGAGAUAGAGGAGAGCUCAUCAUUCAAGACCUAGUCAUCUAUCUUUCCCUCGCUUAUUCUCUUUCUGAUCCUCCCCUCCUCUCCCUCUCUCAGUCAUGGGGAUUUGGGGGCUCCGAGCCAAGCGGCCUCCCUAGGAAAUUGCCUCGAGCUUGCUGGGCAUUUAAUGAGGUUCACAAUGAUUUAUGAUGCUUGAUGUACACAAAAUGGAAUCAGAGACCUGCAUAUGGGCUUGUUACCGAUUAAUUCCACACUAUAAUUUCACCCUGGAUACAAUUCAAUAUCACAUCGACAAUGCUGUGAUGCCCCAUACUUAUUGCUUUACAAGAUGGGGAAUUAAAGAUUUACCAAAUCAAGCAUGUGAAUGCCUGUCGGGGUUUUGUUUUGCAGAGCUUUACUAUUUUAUACUGAAAAGUUGCACCAUCUGUGCAAAGUUCAGCUCGACUCUCUCUCCCAUUGUGCCUUCUUUUCUCACGUAUCCUCAUCACAAGUCAAAGCUGGCCUUGACUACAGACACACAACGCUAUAUUAUUCUCAUUUGACACUCUGUCUGUAACUGACUAGGUCAUAUUUACUGACAAAUACUGUUUACCUUCAUGAGCCUGCAUAAGUGGCUUUCAGUUUUCAAUUCAUUAAAACUGUUAUUAGCGUGGAAUACUUAGGCGUCUCCGGGACUAUUUUACAUCUCCUAUUUCCAAUUGUUUGUCUGUCAGCCAGAUGAAACCAAGCUUGCUGGGCAUUUUGUCGCCGGGGUUGAAUCCAGGCUGGCACUCUUGUGUCCAGGAGGAACGAUGGAUUAUCUAGAAUCACUUAUCCCGCACAAUUUAAAAGCCAACAAGUCUAUCUACAGAUCAGUUAAUAACAUGGUGCCUCUCCCCCGGCAAUAUCUUUUGGUCUGUUUCGAUUAGAUUUUCUCUUAUUGACUUGAGAUUUGAAAAAGAAUCUCUCGUGCAGCAAGUCCGAGCCAACAUGUCUUUCUGUGAGGGUGAGGUUGUGUCGACCAAGAUUAGCAGUAACCUCUGCUCUGUUAUAGGGCUGAAAAGAAAGCGCCAAGUCACGAAGUAGAAUUUCACGGAUUUCUUUGUCAAAAACAGAACACUUCAGUCAUCAGAACAAAGAAACUAUGGCUCUGGGAAUAAAACGCUCCCUUCACAUCAUCUUGGGUUUGGGCCUGUGCUUAUAUCCUUUUCUUCAAAUCCUAAAAAUAAACAACUCUGAAAGACAAAUCUGAGGUCUGUGCAAAUAAUCUCACAAGCUAUUGUCAGCAAGAUGUUUGAGGUUGAUUCUUUUUUUAGCAGUUCAUAAAAAGCUGUGUAACACGUCUAACAGCUCACGUUUAACGUAUGGUUUAGACACCUCUCACGUGAAGCUCAGCUGCUGUGAGACAGUGGUAAUGAUGCCAUUUGCAGCUAAAGUUAACAGCAGACAGUGAGUAAUGGAGCACUUUCUGGGACACAAAGACUGCAGUCUUGGGUAUUCUGUCUGAAUCGCAUCUGGAAGCCCUGCAUUUGGUGUAAUAAAGCUCAGAGGAAUGUUGCAUCUUUAAGGUAUCGCUUUCUAAUGAGUCACUCCGGGGCUACGCGUUGUAGCUUGAGGAUGGUUAAAUGUGCAAGAUCUUACAUUAGGACUACGUUGAUUUCCUCUCAACAUGUUAUGAUGUGCAAACGGACCCAGAUGCAACACGCAGGACCACCAAGGUUUCUCUUUUUCCAACAGGGGUUAUUUAUUUUCUCCGGCAGGGAAAAAACAAAGGCAACAUGAAAGGCGUGGCACUGGGCGGGGCUCUGAGGACACUACUGGGGACACAAAAACAAAACCACAAGCACAUGGCAAAACAAUAACAAACAGGCAGGGCUGUAGUGGAGGGUAAACGCACGUAAACGCCGUUUACGCACCUCUAGAAUUUUGGAAAUAGCGUUUACGCACCUAUAAAUAGCGUUUACGCACCUCUAAGUGGCGUGUACGCACCUCAAAGUUCCCUGCGCCUUGUAUUCUUCCGUUGGAAUAAUCCGAAAUAAACUUGGUGUAAUUUUAAAACAGCUAAGACUACGUUUCCUAUUGUUGAACAUAUAAACGCCGUAGUCUGAAUCAUUUUCAUCUGCGCUGUAUUACGGUCUGUGAGCAUCCAAUCAGUGCCUUGCGGCUGCAGCAGCGACACCAAUCAGGAUCCAGGAGGUGUGUAAACACAUACACGCUGUGAAUCAGCCCAGUGGUCCCCAACAGUUAGGCACAAUACUUCUUAAAAAAGGCCCUUCAUUUCUGUGCUUAAAGGUUUUCUGUUUAAAUUGACUAGUUGUAUCACAACAUAUUUUAGCUGCUCCAGGAGCCUUUCCUGUUUUCUCUGUGAUCACUGUCCAGCUUUGAGCCAAAGGGGCGACAGACAUUAGACGCAUCCACUCUGCCAACACCAAAUAUUUCUCUUCUUUGCUCGUGUGCACCUCUGGGACGGCAGACAAAGGCUUCCACACACAACCCGAAUACACAUGUUGCACCUGUGCACAAGCACACGUUCACACAUGGACACAAGCCUGCCACCUGUUCUCAACGCUUAACAACAGAGCUCCCUAAAUCCUCUCUGUAUAUCGUGGAAACAAGACGUUCCCAUCACCACAGUUUAUGCAACAUUGCUGGUGUUUCCAUUUAAUUUAGCUGAGCUGAACAUAUCUUGCUCUUAUACUGAAAUUGAACUCCAUACUCGGCGGACGUCACGGAAUUCUGACUUUUUGGAAUUAUUGCUUGUUGAUGUGAAGGCUGUGAAAUGGAAAGGUCACCACACACCUGCAGGAAACUAUUCAUUUAUCAUCACAAAGAUAUAAGGUUUCAUUGAUCUUAAGGUUUUCCCCAUUUGGACCUGAGAAUGUGUCCAAUAGAUAGCCAAAGCCAGACACCUUGACACUAUCUAAAACUGCCAUGGGUGUCUUGUGGGGUGACAAAAAGCAAUUAGACUAAUGUCCCCCAACCGAAUCUCUCACGUUACACUGGCUGACAUUGUCCACUGCCGCAGGCACCUACUCCACUCAAUAAGUAAUUACAAUGUCUUUAGCCGCCUCUGCAGCCAGCCUUACCUUUUUUCAACGGAGAGCCAAGAGACCGGAUGUCUAUUAAUUGAAUUGGCGGACUAAUAGGAACUCUAGAAAAUACUCCCCUUUUCCCUCUCUAUCUCUAUGACACAUUAAUUCACUUGUUUUAACAACGAGAACAAAUACAGUGUUUCUUAAUAUUUGAGUCUGCUUUAUCCAACCAAUUUAAGCAUUUGAUUCAGUCAGCAACAGUUUUGUAUAAUGGGUAAAGCCUCUGUUUCAUAGGGUGGCUUUAACCUAUAAAUAAAAAAAACAUCUUCGCAAAUUAUAUUUUCAUGUAUUUUUGCUUCAUUUAUUUGCAGUGAUGGUUAUUCAUCAAAUCCUUCCUUUUAGAGUGAUGAAUCCGAUAUCUCCCAGAGAUUGUGUUCCAACAUCAUUAAUGGGUUCCCAGUAACUCUGGUAGGAAGGUGACAGCAGGCAGAGGAGAAAAACCCUGUCAUUGGUUCACUCUACAGGCGCAAACUCACAGUGAAAAAGAUGGCAGACGGUCACGUGAAUCUAUAUUAGAUCACUUUUUUUUCACCCCGCAGUCCGUCUCCCCUCUCCCUGUUGGUGGCACUGAGCAGUUCUGGGGCAGGUUAUUGUCCCGUGUAUAAAUAAGCUGACAGUCUGGCGGGGCCAGGUGCUCUGAUGUGUCAGUUCGGUGUCCUCCUCACUACCUGCCGCGGCGUUGUGUCGCUGAAGUGUUUUCUUGCCAUUCAACGUGACCUCCACAGAUGGCUCAUUCCCUGGCAAACUAUAACGAUCCAGCUCCCGUCCCUCACUGCUAAUUGGGAUCUCACCUUUUUUAGAUUGGUUAAUACCCUCAAUCUCUGUUUAUGUCUCAUACAUCAGGUUGAUCAUUUACAUCUAAUAACCCACGCAAUUAUUUGUUGAUUUUUUUGUUUUUGGUCUGUGUGUUUUUUUCUCUCCAAGGUGACACACUUUCACCCAUUUGUCUGUAGUUACAUGUCUGCUAUUUGCUAGCAAAAAAUAACGAGAUGUUUAGACUGAAAAUUAAACUAAAUGACUUGGUAAAAAGCCUUUUUUUGCAUUGUGCCUCCAUCAAUUCCCUCAUCCUCACUUACCCCCCCAUCCCUGUCCUAUGCCAUCUGUAUACCUGUUUACCUACUACAUUCCAGUCCUCUAUCUUCUCCAGUCGUGGGGGACAACUUGUCACCAGCAGACGUGUUGAUGUCUAAUGGCUGUGGGGCUUUUUCUUUGACACCUGCAGCAAACGGGAAUCCUGACCGGCUGCAGGGAGUGUUUAUCUCCCAACGCAGGCCUUCCCUCUAUCCCCAUGCCAAUAGAAACAGCAGCACAGCGCCUUGUUCCCAGAACCCAGAUAAGGUCCCCAGAGAAACCGCGCUGCAGCCAGACACCCCCCCGCCCUCCAUCGCUACAAAGGACUGGACGGAGCACAGAGACUACGUGACCCAGAACUCCCCCUCCGUGCUUUCACACAACUCUUGCUAAAUCUGGCUUAAUUCCUUUAAAGACCCGCGUUAAGUGACAUGACAUCGAAACGAUUUAACAUUGAAAAAUUCGAGGUUGGAAAAGGACAGAUUUCUGAACGUGUUUCGUCCUUUUGACACCUUUUCCUAAAAUACCAGAGAACCAGCUCCAGUAAAUGGAGCGUGAAAAACUGCCCUGAUGCACAAUGACGGAGCUGCUCUCGGCGUGACAGAGAGAGACAUUGAUUAACUGUCAGUUACUGUCAGCGUCGACUUUGAUAACAGGUUGUACUUUGACUAUGUUAUGAAACUUAAAGAAAAAGAGCCACACAGAGAAGUUAAAACUGACACAAUCUAAUGUUUGCAUGUUUGAUAGCAGCCAAAGAUGUGUGAGGGAGUAUGAGUGUUACAGAUUACGUAACCGACUGUGUUUGUGCGGUGGUAUUCUUCGCGACUCACAAACAAAAGGGACUCAGGUGAUUUAGAUUUUGAGUUUUUACCAGUGAGAUAUAAAUAUCUUUAAGCUGAAUCAAUCAAUUUUUAUUCAUUUCAACAACAGGUCGAAUGCAACUUUUAAAGUGAAAGUUAAUCUGCAGAGCAUUUUGUGUCCUUUAACUUGUUGUUUUGGUUUUAUAGCGUAGAACUUUGCUUAUCAAUUCUCACUAAAUUGUGUAUCCAACUAAAUUGAUUGUUUUUUAUGAAUAUUAACUUAUUAUUUGUUUUGCCAAAUCCAAGGCCGCUUGCUGGCAACGUUCGUUAAUAAAUUUUCUUCCUUUCCAGGCAGCGUAUAACAUGACACUGAGCAGAGGUUUAAAGGAGGAGGGUGGUGAACGGUUGAAGGAAAAAAAGCACACAACACGACAAAAGUGUUAGUCCUAGUGUAAACGCUAGGAUAAACACACACAACACAAAUUAUCACCUCAAAAAGCUAAUAAACUAUUAACGUAUUAACAAUCAGUGGCUUAUUAACACAGCCGGCAGUCACGAGGAGAACGGGACCCCGUUAAUGAAGCUUAACAGGUAGUCCAGAUAGGAAGACUCUCCGUCGUUGCGGUCAGGUGUCCUUUCAACGAGAAACCAGAUGCGACCCUCCUUCACCCCAUGCAGGCACCUCCAGCCAUCAUUUUCAUCAACUCCCUUCUUCACCACCACCACUAGAGUCUGGACUCCAGGAGGCAUUUGGAACUCUGCAUCACCGCCCCUUGAUUAUCCUGGUUUAGGAUGGAGUCCAAUCGCCACAUAAUUGCACUAUUUCAAUGUCACACAUGUAAUAAAUGGUUGUCAAUACGAACCAAGUCUCUCCUGAUUAAAUUCACUUUGGAGAGCUGCCUGCUAAAACUGAAAUCAAGAGUGGAUUGUGACUAAGUAUAUGUACUAUGUAUAUGUAUGUAUAAAUAUAUAUAUAUAAAACCAUGAACCUUUAGCAAAUGCUUUAAAUGAGAAACAUAUACACAUGAAUAAUGCUUUGGUUUUUCCAGAGCAGAUGUUGAAAAGAUAACAGACGUUCUACAUGAAUAGAAUGUAGCGACAUUCCCGCUGAACGCUUCUUUGUCAUUGCAGCAAUACACGCUCUGGGCUUUUUUUUAUGUUAAUAUAUAUAGACAGUAUAUACACUUUUGUAUCUUUUGAACAAUCAGUAGUUCAUUGAUGUAUUAAAAAGAUUCCAAUCUUUGGAACUUAUUCUAAAGGGCUCAUCGUUGAACGUACUGUAUUGUAAGGAAUGAAAUAAAUUUGUAUUUCCUGGCUUUUCUUUUGCCUCACAAUUGUUGCUGCAAGUCCCUAGUGUGUGUACAAGGUCUUGUGGGAAAUAACUGCAUUCAGUUUGUUCUGUACAGGGAAAUUCAGUUCUGUGUUUGGCCAACCAUGUCAGGCACUUAAAUCACAGAGGGCCUGAAUUCCUCAGGGCCAAUCCAGCCUGUCACCAUGAAUGUAAAGACAGGCUUUAUCUCCUCCGACUUAAAUAUGCCCAUAAAUAAUGUAGAAGCGGGU